UACGUAGGGUGCAAGCGUUGUCCGGAAUUAUUGGGCGUAAAGGGCUCGUAGGCGGUCCAUCACGUCGGGAGUGAAAAGCUGGGGCUUAACCCCAGUCCUGCUUCCGAUACGGGUGGACUAGAGGUAGGCAGGGGAGAACGGAAUUCCUGGUGUAGCGGUGAAAUGCGCAGAUAUCAGGAGGAACACCGGUGGCGAAGGCGGCCUGCUGGGGCAGUUGCUGACACUGAGGCGCGACAGCGUGGGGAGCAAACAGG
rnacentral:rRNA from 1 species